UACGUAGGGGGCGAGCGUUGUCCGGAUUUAUUGGGCGUAAAGAGCGUGUAGGCGGCCAGGUAGGUCCGUUGUGAAAACUCGAGGCUCAACCUCGAGACGUCGAUGGAAACCAUCUGGCUAGAGUCCGGAAGAGGAGAGUGGAAUUCCUGGUGUAGCGGUGAAAUGCGCAGAUAUCAGGAAGAACACCUAUGGCGAAGGCAGCUCUCUGGGACGGUACUGACGCUGAGACGCGAAAGCGUGGGGAGCGAACGGG
rnacentral:rRNA from 1 species